rnacentral:rRNA from 1 species
CUGGGUUGGAUGAGUGGCGAACGGGUGAGUAACACGUGAGUAACCUGCCCCCUUCUUUGGGAUAACGGUCGGAAACGGCUGCUAAUACCGGGUAUUCACUGUCCUUCGCAUGGGGGGUGGGUGGAAAGGUUUUUUCUGGUGGGGGAUGGGCUCGCGGCCUAUCAGCUUGUUGGUGGGGUGAUGGCUUACCAAGGCUUUGACGGGUAACCGGCCUGAGAGGGUGACCGGUCACAUUGGGACUGAGAUACGGCCCAG